CACGUAGGGUGCGAGCGUUGUCCGGAAUUAUUGGGCGUAAAGAGCUCGUAGGCGGUGUGUCGCGUCGGCCGUGAAAACCUGCAGCUUAACUGUGGGCGUGCGGUCGAUACGGGCAUCACUGGAGUUCGGCAGGGGAGACUGGAAUUCCUGGUGUAGCGGUGAAAUGCGCAGAUAUCAGGAGGAACACCGGUGGCGAAGGCGGGUCUUUGGGCCGAUACUGACGCUGAGGAGCGAAAGCGUGGGGAGCGAACAGG
rnacentral:rRNA from 1 species